UACAGAGGGUGCGAGCGUUAAUCGGAAUUACUGGGCGUAAAGCGCGCGUAGGCGGCUUUGCAAGUCGGGUGUGAAAUCCCCAGGCUUAACCUGGGAACUGCAUUCGAGACUGCAUUGCUAGAGUAUGGGAGAGGGAAGUGGAAUUUCCGGUGUAGCGGUGAAAUGCGUAGAUAUCGGAAGGAACAUCAGUGGCGAAGGCAAUCCCCUGGGCCUGUACUGACGCUCAUGCACGAAAGCGUGGGGAGCAAACAGG
rnacentral:rRNA from 1 species